UACGUAGGGGGCAAGCGUUGUCCGGAUUUAUUGGGUUUAAAGGGUGCGUAGGCGGCCUUAUAAGUCAGUGCUGAAAUAUCCCGGCUUAACCGGGAGGGUGGCAUUGAUACUGUAGGGCUUGAGUGUAGUCGAGGUAGGCGGAAUUGACGGUGUAGCGGUGAAAUGCUUAGAUAUCGUCAAGAACACCGAUAGUGUAGACAGCUUACUAGGCUACAACUGACGCUGAGGCACGAAAGUGUGGGGAUCAAACAGG
rnacentral:rRNA from 1 species